rnacentral:rRNA from 1 species
GACGAACGCUGGCGGCGUGCUUAACACAUGCAAGUCGAACGGAAAGGCCCUGCUUGCAGGGUACUCGAGUGGCGAACGGGUGAGUAACACGUGGGUGAUCUGCCCUGCACUUCGGGAUAAGCCUGGGAAACUGGGUCUAAUACCGGAUAGGAGCCAUUUUUAGUGUGAUGGUUGGAAAGUUUUUUCGGUGUAGGAUGAGCUCGCGGCCUAUCAGCUUGUUGGGGGGUUAAUGGCCUACCAAGGCGGCGACGGGUAGCCGGCCUGAGAGGGUGGACGGCCACAUUGGGACUGAGAUACGGCCCAGACUCCUACGGGAGGAAGAAGUGGGGAAUAUUGCACAAUGGGCGCAAGCCUGAUGCAGAGAGGCCGCGUGGGGGAUGACGGCCUUCGUGUUGUAAAAUCGUUUCGCGGGGGACGAAGCUUUUUGUGACGGUACCUAGAUAAGAAGCACCGGCUAACUACGUG